rnacentral:misc_RNA from 1 species
AUCCUAAAGAUAAAUAUAUUACUUCUGGUGUCUUAAACAUGGAAAGAUAAAAAGUUAAUGUAGGAAGUAUUUGCUUUGUAGAGAGUACAAUGGUACGAAAUAGAUAUUGUACGUAAUGUAGUCCAAAACUUAACCUUCCUGUUAGUAAUAUCAAGGUUACACAUCCACCGAGACUCACGUUUUGUACUUGUUUUUUACAACUAAAUGCACGUAUAAUGUUGACGUGACGUUGUACAUUUUCAUACUCAAUUGAAAUAUUUUUAACAUGUACACUAUUAAUUAACUGCGUCUCAAUAGCCUCAUGUAUUAUAGUUUAUGGAUCUUUUAAUGUCAUUCUAUAAUUACUUCUGUGUAAAAUAUGCUCUAUAUAUGUUCCGAAAUUCUUUUGUAAUUUAUAAUUACUAGUUACGUUGAAACCUGCAGAGAUUUUAAAUGAAUGGACUUUUAAAGGUCUAACGUCGAUGCACUUGAGAAAAUCAAAUCGAUGAGCAAUGUUCAUUAAUUCGUUAUUCUUGCUGUUUUGGUGAAGCAUUUAGCAAGAGUAGAAAAAGUGGAAACGAACAUUAAAUGUGUGAUGGAGUGUGAAAGUCAAAUCAAUUAAAGGCUUCUUAAAAAAUUAGAAUUGAAGUGACAGAAUCGACAUGUGGGGGAGAUUUCAAUUUAGAUGAUGUUGGGUCUCUUGAUUUAGAUUGUUAUGGUGCUUUCCUUGGAAAAGGACAGGUUAUCGACAGACUAAUAACUCGUAAUAAAAAGUGCGUGUUUAAUAUACACAGCACAAAUUACACCGGAAGACAAAUUUGUAUCAGUGCUUCUGUGAAAGGUUACUAUAACUCUUUUGCCUGUGGAAUAUAUUUUAGAUAUUAUCUUGGUUCUCGGAACGAUUCUAAGAUAUACACGUGUGAAGACAUGAGCUGGUCACCACUGUGUACAGAACUAGGAUCAGUCGUUGCAGAAAUUGUAUAUCAUGAUGCUGUUAUAAAUAAUAGCACAUUUCUUCAGCUCCAUAUCUACUCUAGACCAUAUCAAGAAACAUUAACAGUGAGUACUGUCGAUUGGAGAGCGGAACUGGCUUCCAAAGCAAAUGAAAAAAUUUGGGGGAAAUAUAAAGGAGAUGGGAAAUCUUUUUUGAAAAAAAGAUGGUGGGUUUUCCUGAUUUUAGGAGUUGCAUUUCUGCUUGGUGGAGCUUUUGGUAUCUAUAAGGCUUUUGCUCAGAGGCAUAUACAAGCCGUUCAGCGUGACCGUCAAAUUCAACAAAUGUUGCAAAAUAUCCCUUUAAGUCAAGUUACAUCUGUCCCGGGAGACCAGCAACAACCUAUGCUUAGUACGACUAUUGACGAGGAAAGAGGAAGUUAUAGAUGAUGUAAGCGGAUAAUAGAAUCAUAUUACAGUAUAGACUACAUAUAUAAUUAUACGUGUAAGACGAGGAGCGAGAUAACUCCAUUGUCAACGCCCAGUAUGGUCUCACGGAGGAACAGUAUCAUUGAAGUAUUGUAUACGGUUGUUUCGUUACGAGUGUGAAUACAUGAAUACUGUAACUUUAUACAUUUUUAAUACAUAAUUUCAUACCAUUCAUUUUUGUUGUCGAGCCCACAUGUGGAUAGCGAAGACACAGUCGUCGAAAUUGCUGUUCGGUGUAUGUGCGUUAGAGCAUCCGUGCGUCCAUCCGUAUUUUUUUUUGUCCGGACAAUAACAUUGACAUGCAUGGAGAAAUCUUUUUUAUAUUUAGCAUGAAUGUUCAUCUCAAUGAGACGGAGUGUCAUGUUCCUAUCUCAAAGGACAAGGUCACACUUGGAGGUCAAAUGUCAUGUCAGAUAUUGUACAGCUUAUAUCAUUGAUAAGUAUGGAGCAGUCUUUUUUAUUUAGCAUAACUCUUCACCUCCGUGAGACGGAGUGGCACGCGCAAACCAACAAAUAAUAGACAGGAAAUUGUUGCCCGUUGGGCAUCAACAUUUUAGUUUUUAAAAAAUAUUUGUAUUGUUCUUUUGUUGUACUUAAAUUGCAUACUUUUUAAUACGUACCUGUUGUUUAGUACCUUGCUGUGAUAUACUAGUAUAAGAUUUUAAAUGUUUACUUUAUAAAAUACAUCCAAGAGCCUGAUAAAUUUGAUGAUACUAUCAUAAGUUUAAUACUAAGUCAUAAAUACCAUGGUUCACUGCUUGUUUGAGAGUAUGGGUUGGUAAACCACAGGCUAGAUUUACAAAGUCUGUUGAGAUCAAGUAAUCUGUAAUAAUGUUGAUUUCUUUGAAGGACUAUAACGACUGGUGCCAGUCUAGCAGGUAGCAUAAUAUGGAUAGACUGUGGUAUACAGAAGUCUAAUAACAUGUGUGGAGUUGGAAAAGUUGUUGAAUAUAUUUAUAUGUAGCUAAGAUUGAAUACACAAUUUAUGUACUUUUGUGAUUUUCACAAUAAAGUAGAGCAUGAGUUUUAUAAAUAUAGAACUACACAUAAAAA